UUGGAUUCUCCCCAUCUUUAAGAUAGAGAAGGAACUGUCUUCUGAAAGAUUUCAAGGGGCUUUUCUCUGUUGGUGACAUGAAAAAGGUCCUCCCAGCCAUAUCCGGCCAUAUCCAGCUCCCUACAGAGCUUCGUUCACAUAAGCAAGCAAGAAAUAAAGAAGUGGAAGAAAUCUCUCACCACAUUUUCUCCUGUCUGUUUUCGUAUCUGUAGGGAGCUGCAGAAAACCGCACCCAAAAGAUGGCGCUGGUUUCCGCCCUCCGCCAGCCCGACGGCGAGCGCUCUCUGUGGUAAACAACUCCAAAUAUGGUAAAGGUCAUGUAUCCUCUUAAUUCUGCUUGGAGACA
rnacentral:lncRNA from 1 species